GGGCGUUUAGCUCAGUGGUAGAGCGUUCGGCUGCAGUCCGAUUGGUCUCCGGUUCAAAUCCGGAAGCGCCCU